rnacentral:piRNA from 1 species
UGCCUGUGUGGUUAUCUGUUGAUAGGUCC